rnacentral:rRNA from 1 species
AAAUUGAAGAGUUUGAUCAUGGCUCAGAUUGAACGCUGGCGGCAGGCCUAACACAUGCAAGUCGAGCGGUAGCACAGAGAGCUUGCUCUCGGGUGACGAGCGGCGGACGGGUGAGUAAUGUCUGGGAAACUGCCUGAUGGAGGGGGAUAACUACUGGAAACGGUAGCUAAUACCGCAUAAUGUCGCAAGACCAAAGUGGGGGACCUUCUGGCCUCAUGCCAUCAGAUGUGCCCAGAUGGGAUUAGCUAGUAGGUGGGGUAACGGCUCACCUAGGCGACGAUCCCUAGCUGGUCUGAGAGGAUGACCAGCCACACUGGAACUGAGACACGGUCCAGACUCCUACGGGAGGCAGCAGUGGGGAAUAUUGCACAAUGGGCGCAAGCCUGAUGCAGCCAUGCCGCGUGUGUGAAGAAGGCCUUCGGGUUGUAAAGCACUUUCAGCGGGGAGGAAGGCGUUAAGGUUAAUAACCUUGGCGAUUGACGUUACCCGCAGAAGAAGCACCGGCUAACUCCGUGCCAGCAGCCGCGGUAAUACGGAGGGUGCAAGCGUUAAUCGGAAUUACUGGGCGUAAAGCGCACGCAGGCGGUCUGUCAAGUCGGAUGUGAAAUCCCCGGGCUCAACCUGGGAACUGCAUUCGAAACUGGCAGGCUAGAGUCUUGUAGAGGGGGGUAGAAUUCCAGGUGUAGCGGUGAAAUGCGUAGAGAUCUGGAGGAAUACCGGUGGCGAAGGCGGCCCCCUGGACAAAGACUGACGCUCAGGUGCGAAAGCGUGGGGAGCAAACAGGAUUAGAUACCCUGGUAGUCCACGCCGUAAACGAUGUCGAUUUGGAGGUUGUGCCCUUGAGGCGUGGCUUCCGGAGCUAACGCGUUAAAUCGACCGCCUGGGGAGUACGGCCGCAAGGUUAAAACUCAAAUGAAUUGACGGGGGCCCGCACAAGCGGUGGAGCAUGUGGUUUAAUUCGAUGCAACGCGAAGAACCUUACCUGGUCUUGACAUCCACAGAACUUUCCAGAGAUGGAUUGGUGCCUUCGGGAACUGUGAGACAGGUGCUGCAUGGCUGUCGUCAGCUCGUGUUGUGAAAUGUUGGGUUAAGUCCCGCAACGAGCGCAACCCUUAUCCUUUGUUGCCAGCGGUCCGGCCGGGAACUCAAAGGAGACUGCCAGUGAUAAACUGGAGGAAGGUGGGGAUGACGUCAAGUCAUCAUGGCCCUUACGACCAGGGCUACACACGUGCUACAAUGGCAUAUACAAAGAGAAGCGACCUCGCGAGAGCAAGCGGACCUCAUAAAGUAUGUCGUAGUCCGGAUUGGAGUCUGCAACUCGACUCCAUGAAGUCGGAAUCGCUAGUAAUCGUAGAUCAGAAUGCUACGGUGAAUACGUUCCCGGGCCUUGUACACACCGCCCGUCACACCAUGGGAGUGGGUUGCAAAAGAAGUAGGUAGCUUAACCUUCGGGAGGGCGCUUACCACUUUGUGAUUCAUGACUGGGGUGAAGUCGUAACAAGGUAACCGUAGGGGAACCUGCGGUUGGAUCACCUCCUUA